CUGAUCCAGGACCAUCUCAGUG
rnacentral:miRNA from 1 species